rnacentral:rRNA from 1 species
UACGAAGGGGGGCUAGCGUUGCUCGGAAUCACUGGGCGUAAAGCGCACGUAGGCGGCUUUCUAAGUCAGGGGUGAAAUCCUGGAGCUCAACUCCAGAACUGGCCUUUGAUACUGGAGAGCUUGAGUCCGGAAGAGGUGAGUGGAACUCCGAGUGUAGAGGUGAAAUUCGUAGAUAUUCGGAAGAACACCAGUGGCGAAGGCGGCUCACUGGUCCGGUACUGACGCUGAUGUGCGAAAGCGUGGGGAGCAAACAGG